GGGGGGGGGGGGGGGGAGGCCUAGCGGGGGCAAGUCGAAGGGCAGCACAGUAAGAGCUUGCUCUUACGGGUGGCGAGUGGCGGACGGGUGAGGAAUACAUCGGAAUCUACUUUUUCGUGGGGGAUAACGUAGGGAAACUUACGCUAAUACCGCAUACGACCUACGGGUGAAAGCAGGGGAUCUUCGGACCUUGCGCGAUUGAAUGAGCCGAUGUCGGAUUAGCUAGUUGGCGGGGUAAAGGCCCACCAAGGCGACGAUCCGCAGCUGGUCUGAGAGGAUGAUCAGCCACACUGGAACUGAGACACGGUCCAGACUCCUACGGGAGGCAGCAGUGGGGAAUAUUGGACAAUGGGCGCAAGCCUGAUCCAGCCAUACCGCGUGGGUGAAGAAGGCCUUCGGGUUGUAAAGCCCUUUUGUUGGGAAAGAAAAGCAGCAGGUUAAUACCCCGCUGUUCUGACGGUACCCAAAGAAUAAGCACCGGCUAACUUCGUG
rnacentral:rRNA from 1 species